UUGACUCAAGAUAAUUUUAGCUGGGUUUGUGUUACUUGUACCUUGAAGAAUCCUGACAAAUAGAGAUUAUAGAAAGCUCUAAGAAAGAUGACUAAGAAAGCAGGCUGUUAGAAGAAUGAGUUGACUGUCAUAAGAGAUAAUGCAUCUCCUUAUUGCCUACACCCAGGAAGAACUGUCAUCAUGGCUAACUCUCCUUAUAUUGUGAAAACUCUUAUCCUUAACCAAAGAGCUGUAAAGUGGAGAGGUAUUAAGUACAACCACCUUCAUUUCCAAUUUAUUUCCCAGUUAACGGUGACAUGGAGGAGGCAGCUAGAGCCAGUAUCUGCGUGACAGGUAUAUGCUCUGGAGGAAGAUCCUUGUCCAAGAAAACAAAUCACAUCCCUCAGUGACCCAGCAAGAUCACAUGCUUAUCCUGGGAACUGAAAAUGGGGCGAGUUUAAAUCCCACUUCGCCACUCAUAUCAUCAAGAAAAGAGUGAGAAAUUGCAAAAACUCAGAAAUCCUAACUCUUCAAUUUCCAAUUACUGUGACUAGUAUUAGGUAGGAGAUCUUGUUUUAUCUUCCAUGAAAUGACAUCGUGACCUGGGUAACUUGAAAUGCUAAGGUAAUGAACUGUUAACCACCUGGGAAUAUCCAAAGCACUCUUUCUAAAGGAAAAACACUCAGAAAUGACCUAACAUGCAUUUGGUAUUUUAAGAGGUGAAAAAAAGUUCACCCAACCAGAACAUGAAAUAUUCUAGGAGAGCAAGAAAAUGGCAAUGUCUUUGUCAAAUGCCUCCACUAAAAUAAAUAGGGGAACAGUAACCAAAUAUGGAGUUUAGAUCUAGAACAUAAAUACAAGAGAACGCUGUUGAAAUACCCAGGUGGUUGUAGAAGGGUGGCCAUUUUAAAUAA